UUCAUGGCCACGCAUCCUUGUAGAUAGAGACUAGGAACUCCAUUGGGGUAGAAACCAACCUCAACCCAGGUUCAAGUCUACACUACAUAUUCUCCUCCCUCUCUGAUUGUGGUCUGCACCAAAACACACCCAAAAAAAAAAAUCCCAAAUCAACAGGACGGUAAGGUUGAGAGAGGCUGAGAGAAAUCAGGGGAAGUGAAGUGAUUUUGCUACUAAGGUAUUUGAUGCAUGUCGUGAAGGGAUGGGAAUGUAGCAGCACAUUUUGCACUUCAUGUAUGUAAUUUUUUUUAUCAUUGUGUUGUAUUAAUAAAUAAAGUUUAGUCCUUAGAGUUGCACAUUUGAAGUUUAAAGUGUGGUGGUGAAGUUAAACUUAAUAUUUUCCUUUUGGUUCAUGUUAGGAUGUUUUUAUCUGUUAUUGUGAUAUUCUGCAUAUCUUGUUUAUCUGUGUUAAUGCUUCCGCGAUGCUUAUUUUUAUA